rnacentral:misc_RNA from 1 species
GAAAUGCGAUACUUAAUGUGAAUUGCAGACUUUGUGAAUCAUCGAGUUUUUGAACGCAUAUUGCACUCUUUGGCAUUCCGAAGAGUAUGCUUGUUUCAGUAUCAUGAAAUCAUCUCGAGCCACAUGUUUUUUUUAAAAACGUGGGGCACGGACUUGGUCAGUGCGGGUGUAACCUGCCUAACUAAAAUUGAUUUCCUGUGCGACUUUUGUGAAAACGGCUUAAUAGUAUUGGCACUUGUGUCAAUUCUUUGGCCAAUUUCAUUUUAACAAAAGCCUUUCGCAUUGAAUACGAAUGAUACAUCUCAAAAUUUGAUCUGAAAUCAAGUAGGACUACCCGCUGAACUUAA